rnacentral:rRNA from 1 species
GCCCCGGUAAACGGCGGCCGUAACUAUAACGGUCCUAAGGUAGCGAAAUUCCUUGUCGGGUAAGUUCCGACCUGCACGAAUGGCGUAAUGAUGGCCAGGCUGUCUCCACCCGAGACUCAGUGAAAUUGAACUCGCUGUGAAGAUGCAGUGUACCCGCGGCAAGACGGAAAGACCCCGUGAACCUUUACUAUAGCUUGACACUGAACAUUGAGCCUUGAUGUGUAGGAUAGGUGGGAGGCUUUGAAGUGUGGACGCCAGUCUGCAUGGAGCCGACCUUGAAAUACCACCCUUUAAUGUUUGAUGUUCUAACGUUGGCCCGUAAUCCGGGUUGCGGACAGUGUCUGGUGGGUAGUUUGACUGGGGCGGUCUCCUCCUAAAGAGUAACGGAGGAGCACGAAGGUUGGCUAAUCCUGGUCGGACAUCAGGAGGUUAGUGCAAUGGCAUAAGCCAGCUUGACUGCGAGCGUGACGGCGCGAGCAGGUGCGAAAGCAGGUCAUAGUGAUCCGGUGGUUCUGAAUGGAAGGGCCAUCGCUCAACGGAUAAAAGGUACUCCGGGGAUAACAGGCUGAUACCGCCCAAGAGUUCAUAUCGACGGCGGUGUUUGGCACCUCGAUGUCGGCUCAUCACAUCCUGGGGCUGAAGUAGGUCCCAAGGGUAUGGCUGUUCGCCAUUUAAAGUGGUACGCGAGCUGGGUUUAGAACGUCGUGAGACAGUUCGGUCCCUAUCUGCCGUGGGCGCUGGAGAACUGAGGGGGGCUGCUCCUAGUACGAGAGGACCGGAGUGGACGCAUCACUGGUGUUCGGGUUGUCAUGCCAAU